GAUGAACGCUAGCGGCAGGCCUAAUACAUGCAAGUCGAACGAGAUUAAGAGGCUUGCUUCUUAUGAAAGUGGCGCACGGGUGCGUAACGCGUAUGCAACCUACCUUAAUCAGGGGGAUAGCCCGAAGAAAUUCGGAUUAAGACCGCAUAAAAACACAGGAUAGCAUUAUCCAAUGUUCAAAUAUUUAUAGGAUUAAGAUGGGCAUGCGUGUCAUUAGCUAGUUGGCGGGGUAACGGCCCACCAAGGCGACGAUGACUAGGGGAUCUGAGAGGAUGACCCCCCACACUGGUACUGAGACACGGACCAGACUCCUACGGGAGGCAGCAGUAAGGAAUAUUGGUCAAUGGAGGGAACUCUGAACCAGCCAUGCCGCGUGCAGGAAGACAGCCCCCUGGGUCGUAAACUGCUUUUAUUCGGGAAUAAACCUUUCUACGUGUAGGAAGCUGAAUGUACCGAAGGAAUAAGAAUCGGCUAACUCCGUG
rnacentral:rRNA from 1 species